rnacentral:lncRNA from 1 species
AAGUUAAAUUAUCGUUUAAAGGUGCAUAAACUAAAAUUAAUAAAAUAUUUUACCCUUAUAACAAUACUUGAGCGUGUGUUGUAGUAAUUUAUUAGAAUGAUCUACUAAAUGGUGAAGUGAUAAUUUGCACGUCACAAUGUCAACAAGGGGAGUAAUUAUAAAUAGAAAAUGAGAGUUGGUAUGAAAGUAAACUUUAAAAAGAAUGUUAAAUAAAAUUUGUUGAAUAAUUUUUAAUCAAAUUUUGCAGAGGUACUGCUUCCAAUUGGCUUCCCUCAGAGUUACAUGCCUCUAAUUGGGACCGCUCUGCCAGGGGUACUGCUUCUAAUUAGCUUUUGCAGACAGAGGUAUAUAUGUACUGCUUCCAAUCAGCUUCGCAACAAGACAGAGGGUGUGCUCCCAAUUAGCUUCACUAAGAGGUACAUGCUUCCAAUUGGCUUCGCUCAGACAACCAUACUACUUCCAGUGUUGUAAUGGUAUGGAUUUGCAAGUCUAUACUACUUCUAUUGUUGAAAUGGUACAUAAUUGCAAUUAAUUGUCGUCCAAAUUUGCAAAAACAUAUUUUAUUUAACAUUCUUAAUCCAGUUUACUGUCAUACCUACUUUCACUCUCUAUUUGUAAUUUCUUCUUAUGGUGACAAAUUGUGAAGAACACAUUAUCACUUGGGAAUUUUGUACUCUUCUGUAGUUUUAAUCAUGAUGACAGUGCGGUACGAACCAAAACUUGUCUAUCUUAUUAAAUUAGACAACCUUUUAGACAAUAAUUAAAAUUUAAUGAGACUUACAGAUGGCUUAUCAUUAUACAUGUAAAAGAUUUAUAAAUACAAAAAUUGGGGUCAAUGGGCAAUUUUUUUUAAGACAUUCAAAUGAAUAAAAAUAGAGAAUUCUGAAAAUCUGACAAAUAUCCCAAAGCAAGCGAACUUCCUUAAAUUCAUAUAAAAAAUAAUGUAAUUUGAAAGAUAGAUGCCAGGAGAUUGGGAGAAUGCAAGAUUUUGCUCUAUUUACCCCCUGACGUUAAGGCAGCAAGUUAUUAUGUCCGCAUGUCAAAUAGCCACCUACUUUCAGAUUUCAGCUUACUACUUCGAAUUGUAUUGAAAGCCCUCCUUUACAAAGAAAUAUUUCCAGUAAAAUUCCUACACUGGCAUAAGUUCUUUUUGAUAAGGGGAGAUAAUCACAAAUUCUGAUAACCAAGUUGACUUUAUCCCAUUCCUUCACCGUAUAUUAAUAGGGGGCUUGUUAUUUUAUGCAUUAAAUAAAAUUUAGGGGGGUGCUUCUAAAAAAUUGUAAGUUGGUCAAUUUAGGCUGUAACACAUAUUUAUAUAUAAAAGUGCAUAUAGAAGCUACAGGAAAGAGAAGUUUGUUUCUUUUUGGUUAUUUCUAUGCUGAAUUGACAUGAUACAAAAAGUCUGAGUGUAAUAAGACUCUUGCAUUGAAAGUAUUUUUGCAGACAGUGUACUUUGAUGCAAAUUUAUUUUCAUUUUUCAGUGGAAAUUCUGAAAACUUGCAUGUAAUUUUAUUCCCAACUUGCAUAUAUUUGAACCACUAACUGUCCUACAGAAGAAGAAAAAGUUUCAUAUGAAAGGAAACGGGUACACUUAUCUUUGAAAUAUGAUUUUUUUUACAGACUAAGUGAACUCUUUAAGAUGGAAUUCAACUAAUUCAACUUUUAUGUACAUAGCUGCUUAUCACGGAAUUUGAAGAAUCUACAUUUACUGAUCAGGGAAUUUGCUGAAUCUACAUUUGCUG